rnacentral:rRNA from 1 species
AUGAAAAUAAUUGAACACUUCCUGAACCAACUCCUAAGCCAACUCCGAAGAAAAUGGGUGUUCUAUUUCAGUCCUGAAGAUAUGCAAGAGACAAAGAAAUCUAUGAAAGAAAAAGGUAUAAAAGCUGAAGAUGUUAGGAAUUUACCUCCUGUUGAAGAAAUACAUGGUUUUAAUUCAUUACCUUCUGAAGAAGUACACAGUCUUGAUAACCCAACACAGGUAGUAAAGGUAAAUUCUCUCUAUAGAUAUGAUAAAGCUGAAAUCCCUCCCACAAAAUUUGCUAGCCAAUGCUUAGAUGAGUUUGAUGAUUUUAUGGUUAAGCAAGAAAACUUCAAUGCUUAUUUUGGUAGAGAAUUAAAACGUAAUGCUUAUAUGAUUGAACACUUGAGUGAUUAUAUGUCUAGAGUUAAAGGUGAACUUAAACUCAUUAGUAAACAUGCUUCUACGGUUACCACUCAAGUAGAACAAGUACUUAAGGCUCAGAAUGAUUUGCUCAAUGAAUUGAAUAGUAAGAAUAAUGAUUCUGCUGUUAGAGUGGCUACUAGAACUGGUAAAAUGACUCAGGAACCUCUGUAUCCUGAAGGCCAUCCUAAGAGAAUUGAGCAGGAUUCUCAGAGAAAUAAUAUUGAUGCACCUAGUCCUUCUAAAAAGAAGAAAAAGAAAAAUGAUAGGACUUUGCAUGCUUCUAGUGAACCUGUUGUGGACACACCUGAGAAUCCCAAUGAUAUUUCUAUUUCAGAUGCUGAAACACAAUUUGGUAAUGAACAUGAACCUAGUGAUAAUGUUAAUGAUAAUGUUCAUGUUGAUGCUCAACCUAGUAAUGACAAUGAUGUAGAAGCUGAACCUGUUGUUGAUCUUGAUAACCCACAAUCAAAGAAUCAACGUUAUGAUAAGAGAGACUUUGUUGCUAGGAAGCACGGUAAGAAAAGAGAGCCAUGGGUUCAGAAACCCAUGCCUUUUCCUCCCAAACCAUCCAAGAAAAAGGAUGAUGAGGAUUUUGAGCGCUUUGCUGAAAUGAUUAGACCUAUCUUCUUGCGUAUGCGUUUGACUGAAAUGCUCAAAAUGAAUCCUUAUGCUAAGUAUAUGAAAGAAAUUGUUACAAAUAAAAGAAAUAUACCGGAAGCUGAAAUUUCCACCAUGCUUGCUAAUUACACUUUCAAGGAUGGAAUACCUAAGAAACUAUGA